UUGCAAAGAACUUUGAAGAGAGAGUUCAAGAGUACGUGAAACUGCUCAGAGGCAAACGGGUGGGCCCUCGAAAUCCCAUUGCGGAGAGAUUCAGUCUAGAGUCCGGUGGGCGGCGCGCAGGUCGGACCCAAGUAGGGUCGACGGCGCGCCGGGGUCCCGUCGGACUGGCGACGCACUUCUCUCCGCACCGAGGACGCCGCAACGGAUCGGGUAGCAGCGAGAGUCGGCCUGAGGUGGCACCAGGCAGGUGGCCGGUCGCGGGAGUUCGUCUCUCGCGCCGGUUAUUCACGGAGCCGCCCGUGGCGCGACACCCGAUCGAGGUUAGCGUUCCCCCUACGGGGAACAGAUCGUCUCCGUCUCUCAGAGACGCGGCGCACCGGGCCAGUGAGCGCCCGCGACGCGGUGCCACUCCGAGAGGUGGCCUGCGCGCGGGUACCGCCACCGUUGGGUCCGGGCAAGGCCGCGAAGGGACGCGCGGUCUGCGGCGAGUAGGUCGGUCACCCACCCGACCCGUCUUGAAACACGGACCAAGGAGUCUAACAUGUGCGCGAGUCGCAGGGUCUUGUACAGGCCCUCGGGCGCAAUGAAAGUGAAGGUCUCCUCGCGAGAUCGAGUUGGGACUCGGCGCCACAUCGGCGUCGAAGCACCAACGGCCCGUCCGAACAGGUCCGCCUGUUGGGCGGAGUCAGAGCGUACACGUUGGGACCCGAAAGAUGGUGAACUAUGCCUGGGCAGAACGAAGCCAGAGGAAAC
rnacentral:rRNA from 1 species